rnacentral:snRNA from 1 species
CAUUCCGGACAUCUCCCAUUU